rnacentral:rRNA from 1 species
AUUGAACGCUGGCGGCAGGCCUAACACAUGCAAGUCGAACGGUAACAGGAAGCAGCUUGCUGCUUCGCUGACGAGUGGCGGACGGGUGAGUAAUGUCUGGGAAGCUGCCUGAUGGAGGGGGAUAACUACUGGAAACGGUAGCUAAUACCGCAUAAUGUCGCAAGACCAAAGAGGGGGACCUUCGGGCCUCUUGCCAUCGGAUGUGCCCAGAUGGGAUUAGCUUGUUGGUGGGGUAACGGCUCACCAAGGCGACGAUCCCUAGCUGGUCUGAGGGGAUGACCAGCCACACUGGAACUGAGACACGGUCCAGACUCCUACGGGAGGCAGCAGUGGGGAAUAUUGCACAAUGGGCGCAAGCCUGAUGCAGCCAUGCCGCGUGUAUGAAGAAGGCCUUCGGGUUGUAAAGUACUUUCAGCGGGGAGGAAGGGAGUAAAGUUAAUACCUUUGCUCAUUGACGUUACCCGCAGAAGAAGCACCGGCUAACUCCGU